CCCCUAGACGUUCUGGGCUGCACGCGCGCUACAAUAAUACGCACAGCGAGUAUCACCGAGCUCGAAAGGGCAAGGUAAACAAUAGAAAAGGUACUGUAAUGGUUAUAGAUCCUUGUAAUUAUUGAUCUUCAACGAGGAAUUCCUAGUAAGUAUGUGUCAUCAUCACGCACUGAUUACGUCCCUGCCCUUUGUACACACCGCCCGUCGCUCCUACCGAUUGGGUGAGCCGAUGAAACUCUCGGAUGUAGGCUAUUCAUAGCCCGAAGAAGAGAUUUGAAUCGUAGCGCUUAGAGGAAGGAGAAGUCGUAACA
rnacentral:rRNA from 1 species